rnacentral:rRNA from 1 species
AGCGAACGCUGGCGGCAGGCCUAACACAUGCAAGUCGAGCGAAGCCUUCGGGCUUAGCGGCGGACGGGUGAGUAACGCGUGGGAACGUGCCCUUUGGUACGGAAUAGCCCCGGGAAACUGGGAGUAAUACCGUAUGUGCCCUUCGGGGGCAAUAUUUAUCGCCAAAGGAUCGGCCCGCGUUGGAUUAGGUAGUUGGUGGGGUAAUGGCCUACCAAGCCGACGAUCCAUAGCUGGGUUGAGAGGAUGAUCAGCCACACUGGGACUGAGACACGGCCCAGACUCCUGCGGGAGGCAGCAGUGGGGAAUCUUAGACAAUGGGGGAAACCCUGAUCUAGCCAUGCCGCGUGAUCGAUGAAGGCCUUAGGGUUGUAAAGAUCUUUCAGUGGGGAAGAUAAUGACUGUACCCACAGAAGAAGCCCCGGCUAACUCCGUGCCAGCCGCCGGCAGUAAGAC